rnacentral:rRNA from 1 species
AAAUUGAAGAGUUUGAUCAUGGCUCAGAUUGAACGCUGGCGGCAGGCCUAACACAUGCAAGUCGAACGGUAACAGGAAGCAGCUUGCUGCUUYGCUGACGAGUGGCGGACGGGUGAGUAAUGUCUGGGAAACUGCCUGAUGGAGGGGGAUAACUACUGGAAACGGUAGCUAAUACCGCAUAAYGUCGCAAGACCAAAGAGGGGGACCUUCGGGCCUCUUGCCAUCGGAUGUGCCCAGAUGGGAUUAGCUAGUAGGUGGGGUAACGGCUCACCUAGGCGACGAUCCCUAGCUGGUCUGAGAGGAUGACCAGCCACACUGGAACUGAGACACGGUCCAGACUCCUACGGGAGGCAGCAGUGGGGAAUAUUGCACAAUGGGCGCAAGCCUGAUGCAGCCAUGCCGCGUGUAUGAAGAAGGCCUUCGGGUUGUAAAGUACUUUCAGCGGGGAGGAAGGCGACAGGGUUAAUAACCCUGUCG